rnacentral:rRNA from 1 species
CCUCAGUAACGGCGAGUGAAGCGGCAACAGCUCAAAUUUGAAAUCUGGCUCUUUCAGGGUCCGAAUUGUAAUUUGCAGAGGAUGCUUUGGGUGCGGGCGCCUUCCGAGUUCCCUGGAACGGGACGCCAUAGAGGGUGAGAGCCCCGUCUGGUAGGAUGCCCAGCCCGUGUAAAGCUCCCUCGACGAGUCGAGUAGUUUGGGAAUGCUGCUCUAAGGGGAGGUAUACUCCUUCCAAAGCUAAAUACCGGCUGGAGACCGAUAGCGCACAAGUAGAGUGAUCGAAAGAUGAAAAGCACUUUGAAAAGAGAGUCAAAUAGCACGUGAAAUUGUUGAAAGGGAAGCGCUCGCUACCAGACUUGGGUACGCGGUUCCGUAGGUGCUCCGCACCUGCGUACUCCUCGUGCCCAGGCCAGCAUCAGUUCUUCGUCGGGUUAAAAGGCUUCGGGAAUGUGGCUCGCCUCGGUGAGUGUUAUAGCCCGUUGUGUCAUGCCCGGUGGGGGACUGAGGUACGCGCUCCGCAAGGAUGCUGGCGUAAUGGUAGCUAGUGACCCGUCUUGAAACACGGACCAAGGAGUCAACCUUAUGUGCAAGUGCCCGGGCGUAAAACCCCAGCGCGGAAUGAAAGUGAACGUAGGUGAGAGCUUCGGCGCAUCACCGACCGAUCCUGAUGUCCUCGGACGGAUUUGAGUGUGAGCAUAUAGGGUUGGACCCGAAAGAAGAUGAACUAUGCGUGUGUAGGGUGAAGCCAGAGGAAACUCUGGUGGAGGCUCGCAGCGGUUCUGACGUGCAAAUCGAUCGUCAAACAUGCGCAUGGGGGCG